UUUCUUCAUUCUACCACAUGGCGCUGCCAUCGCGUCAAAAUAUUUGCAAAAAUAGGUCUAUUCCUUUGUUUUUUAGUGUUACACUUUUGAGUGUAAGUGUACGAAAUUCUAUGGACAUUUGAGUGUAAAAUGACAGCGGAUGUGACAGCGGCUCAUGACAGCGGACAGUAUUAAACGAAAAUUAUCGGUGUGCCAAUCCAAGCAAAGGGAUAAGGAACUUCCGAAUAUGGCCUAACUGGGGGCACAUAACAUAACAUAACCUAAUCCUAAUAUUUACAUUUGUAAAGAAUAUCCUGUUUGUUAGUUUGUUUUUAUUGUCGAUUGUUCAGCGAAAUUGUGUGCAGCAAAUCAAAUAUAAAGUAGUUUAUCGCCUACAGAACUGAAUUAGUCCAUAGCAGUUAUCAGUUUUUCUUUCUUGGGAAGCUUAUACAUGUAACUUGUAUUGUUGUAAAUUGUGGGAGUAGGGCAGACAGGGAAAAGUCUUAUUUUGUACUGUUCCCAAGGCUCCCCAUGCAAUACAUUUAAAUGAAUUAUCCAAACAAAGCUGGGGACAAUGGAUAAAAGCCACAAGAAGAACAGAUAUAAGGGAACUAAAAUUAAAAUAUGAAAAGUAAACAUUUUAUAAGUGGAACAACCACCAGAUAUUUAAAAGGUAUAAAAAGAAGAAACUGCUGGAAUUUCAAAACAAAUGUGUUUGACUAGUAAAGAUUUGGAUAAAUAACAGGAGUUACUUUGGGCUAUAGCUAAGUGCAGAUUUAUUUCCUUGUGGCUUCCUAUGUUAAUUCUUAUUAAUUAUACACUUAAAUAUGUUUUUAGUCUCAGGAAGAUUUUAUAUUUGAUUAUUUUUGAAUAAACAUUAUUAUUAUUAUUACCUUAAUUUCCAUUAAAUAAAUUAACUGUAAUCAAUAAAGUAAUCGUUUAAUUGUUAAUAAAUUAUCAAGUAUGA